rnacentral:misc_RNA from 1 species
CAAAGAACCAUCUGGCAAAACGCGUGAUUCAUCAAACUUUCCACGUCGAAGACUUGUUUCAAAAAUGUUUAAGGCUGGCACCCAGGUUCCAACUAGAAUUUCGGCACCUGCAGCAGCCAGGGACUUAGCAAUAGCCCACCCAUAUCCAUUAUCAUCAGCUAUACCAGCUAUAAAAGCCCUUUUACCUCUCAAAUCAAUCGGCAACACAGAGGCGGGCUUGCUAUCAUCAGCUUCUGAUUUUGCCUUGGUAACAACUUUCUGAAACUUUUGAGUCGUAGAUGUGAAACUGCGCCAAAAAUGUUGAAUGGAUGAAACAUGACAACUACUGGCAAGUCUGUUACAGGACAGUUUUUGAGUUUCACCGCCAAACUUUGUUGAGCAGAAACUGGUAAUUCUUUUAGUAGAGAAUAUGGAUGGCCUAGCUAUUGUUAUUUGAAAGCUUGAAGCUGCAGAUGCUGCCAUUUCUUCAAGUGACAAAGUAGAAUUUUGGGUACAAAGGGG